rnacentral:ncRNA from 1 species
CUACGGACUUAGAAAACUGGGCCUUGAUAGAGAAAUCUUUUAAGUGGAAGCUCUCAAAUUCAGGGAAACCUAAAUCUGUUUACAGAUAUGGCAAUCCUGAGCCAAGCCCAGAAAAUUUAGACUUGAGAUUUGAUUUUGGAGUUAAACUCAAAAUUUAAAAUCCCAAAUUCAAAAUUCCGGGAAGGUGCAGAGACUCGACGGGAGCUACCCUAACGUAAAGCCGAGGGUAAAGGGAGAGUCCAAUUCUCAAAGCCUGAAGUUGCUG